UUCUUAGAAGCUUGCAACAGCAAUGAAUUUUUACUUCAUAAAUAGGGAGCUUCCCCCCUAAGAAA
rnacentral:tRNA from 1 species